GGAAAGGGGGCAGGAAGUGAGGAGGUGACAGUUUCUGGCUGCUGAUGACCCGCAGAGCCCACGGAGUGACCGCAGAUAAUGCCCCAUCUUUCUCAGCCACCCAGACUCACUGAACUUAGAUCCUGCAGCUCUGACAAGGGCCAAGGGAAGCAGAGAAUGGCAGCUGCAUCAGUUGUGGUGGGAGUGAUUCUUGGUGCCUCUCUGUCCUGUUGUUCCCUGAAGCCGAAGCUGUGGGUCUGGGCAAUCUGCACAGCGAGGCGACUAGAACCUCUGAGGGAUGCUGCAGUCUAGAACGAUCCCUGGCCUAAUUCAAGAAUGGAAACAUGGCUCUUCCCUCAGGGGCUGAUGAUGUCACCGGAGCAGUGAGUUAUAUUCCCUUCAAAAGGACCCAUGCUGCAGCUUCCUCCACUGCUGUCUUUACUCCCUGGACAACCAGCUCCCACUGCUCCUUAGAGGCCGGGUGCCCAGUGUGCGGGCUUUCACACACCACCUCCCCGAAUCCUCAUCAAAACCCGACGGCAAGGGCGCUGUCAUCCUAACUACGCAGGAGAAAACUGAGACUCGGAAACUUAAGUGACUCAUUUCCCAUCUGAGUGGAUUACUCAGGAAAAGAAAAGGAAAUUAGCAUGAGAUUUGGGAGGAAGUAUUGAAUAACGACUAUCAGCAAAGGGCUUUUUGCUUAGACAAAUCUGAGUUGGAAGCCCAGCUCUUCAACUUCCGGGCUGUGUGAGCUUGGGCAAGUCCCUCAGCUGCUCUGAGGCUCACUUUCUCCACCUGCAAUGUGAAGAUAAUCCUACUACCUAUUCCAGGCCUCCUGCGUGGCAGGUGAUCCAGAAUUUUAUCUAAUCGUCUCCUUGCUUUUAUUAAAUGACGGUUAUUUUUUCUCUGCUCACCAAUCAGGAUUUUGUGGUUCUUCUGCUGGUCUCUCCUGGGUUCUCUCCUAUGGUUGAAGAAUGGAAUGGAAUGGCUGGAUAGUCCAAGGUGACCUGGCACAGACGUCUGGGAGUUGGUGCUGCUUCUGAGCCUGGGCACCUCGAUUUUCCUCUACACGGCCGUUCAUCCUUGGGUAGACUUAUCAGCUUCCUCACAGCACAGCUGCCUCAGGGCAGAGCUCCAAGAGGACAAGUGCCUGUGUGCCAGGGUAACUGCUGAGGAAGAAAUGCACCGGCCAAGUCUUACCCUGUGGCAACCUUUUGGUAAGGUCUUUGGAGAGCCACAUAAGGUGUUUCUUGCCUGCAGUCACAUGGUGAGAUUUGCAUUUUAGGAAGGUCACCUGACGCCCUGUGGAGGAUGGCUCAGAGGGGCUAGACUGAGGCAGGAGGGCUGAUAAAGGGGCUGUAAUUUGAGUGAGAGAUGGUAUGAUAGUUAAUUUCAUGUGUCAACUUGGCUGGAGCAGGGUAAUCAGAUAUGUGCUCAAACUUUAUUCUGGAUGCUUCUGUGAGGGCAUUUCUGGAUGAGAUUGACAUUGAAAUUGGUAGACUUUGACUAAGUAGAUUGCCCUCUAUCAUGUGAGUGGGCCUUUUCUAAUCAGGCCUACAUAACAAAUGAUUGACCUCCCUGAGCCAGAAAGAAUUUGACCAGCAGAUGGCCUCUGACCUUGAACCAGGACAUUGGUGCUGCUUUGGUUCUCCAGCCUGCUGGUCCACCCCCAGGUUUUGAACUUGCCCACAUCCAUGAUAGCAAGAGCCAAUUCCUUAAAAUAAAUCUCUCUCUCUCUCUCUCUGUGUACACAUCUAUUGGUUCUCUUUUUCUGGAGAAUUGUGACUAACACAGAUGGUAGAACCUGCACCAGAGCAGUGGCCAUGGGGUUGGAGAGAAGGGUAAGAACUGAAGAGCUAGUUAGGAGAUUAAAUUGGCCUCAUUUAAUGAUAUUUUGGGCGUGGGCAGAAAGACAGUAAGAGAAGUUUCAGUGGUGAUUGAGUGUUUCCUUAGGUGGGCUGCUGGAUGGAUUCGGAUGUUCUGUAUCAAGAGAAGAAAUCCAGUCUAUGUGGGGUGCUGACCCGCAAUGGUGCACAUGGAUGGA